UACGGGGGGAGCAAGCGUUGUUCGGAUUUACUGGGCGUAAAGGGCGCGUAGGCGGCGUGACAAGUCACUUGUGAAAUCUCCGGGCUUAACUCGGAACGGUCAAGUGAUACUGUCGUGCUAGAGUACAGAAGGGGCAACUGGAAUUCUCGGUGUAGCGGUGAAAUGCGUAGAUAUCGAGAGGAACACCUGCGGCGAAGGCGAAUCCCUGGAAAACACCUGACACUGAGGCACGAAAGCUAGGGGAGCAAACAGG
rnacentral:rRNA from 1 species